rnacentral:rRNA from 1 species
UACGUAGGUGGCAAGCGUUGUCCGGAUUUACUGGGCGUAAAGAGCGCGCAGGCGGUCGUGCAAGUCGCGUGUGAAAGCCCCCCGGCUCAACUGGGGAGGGUCACGCGAUACUGCUCGACUUGAAGGCAGGAGAGGGAAGUGGAAUUCCCCGGUGUAGUGGUGAAAUGCGUAGAUAUCGGGAGGAACACCAGUGGCGAAGGCGACUUCCUGGCCUGUUCUUGACGCUGAGGCGCGAAAGCUAGGGUAGCAAACGGG